rnacentral:tRNA from 1 species
CGCGGGGUGGAGCAGCCUGGUAGCUCGUCGGGCUCAUAACCCGGAGGUCGCAAGUUCAAAUCUUGCCCCCGCACCCA